UACGUAGGGGGCAAGCGUUGUCCGGAUUUAUUGGGCGUAAAGAGCGUGUAGGCGGCUUUACAGGUCCGUUGUGAAAACUCGAGGCUCAACCUCGAGACGCCGGUGGAAACCGUAAGGCUAGAGUCCGGAAGAGGAGAGUGGAAUUCCAGGUGUAGCGGUGAAAUGCGUAGAUAUCGAGAGGAACACCUGCGGCGAAGGCGGGUUGCUGGGCCGACACUGACGCUGAGGUGCGAAAGCGUGGGGAGCAAACAGG
rnacentral:rRNA from 1 species